AUUGAAUCCCCCAAAAGCAUGCAUCAAGAAGGGAUUCCAGACAAGAUCCAGUGGCUUCCAGAGAGCUCUGCUGGCAUAGAGGCCUGUGAGCAAUUUGCUCUUCUUACACUCCAAGUCUCUGCGGUGAGAUGUCAACACCCCUUUGGAAUGUACCCCAGGGUCCAAGAAGGAGCAGUGGGUUCAUGUGCAGAGACUACAUUGUCCUUUCCCGUAGGGGAAGUGGGAGAAGAUUCUCCAUCUAAAAUACAAAGGGUUUCAUGAAAUGAAGAAACUUAAACUUGCAGAGGGAACCACUCCAAGGAGCCGAGUCUCAUGCUAACCUCUCUUUCAUGGUUAUUUUUGAUGCUAGAUCCACUGAAAUGCAUUAUGCUGCAUUGAUAUAUGGGAUACACAGUUU
rnacentral:lncRNA from 1 species